rnacentral:rRNA from 1 species
UACGAAGGGGGCUAGCGUUGCUCGGAAUCACUGGGCGUAAAGCGCACGUAGGCGGAUCCUUAAGUCGGGGGUGAAAUCCUGGAGCUCAACUCCAGAACUGCCUUCGAUACUGAGGAUCUCGAGUCCGGGAGAGGUGAGUGGAACUGCGAGUGUAGAGGUGAAAAUUCGUAGAUAUUCGCAAGAACACCAGUGGCGAAGGCGGCUCACUGGCCCGGUACUGACGCUGAGGUGCGAAAGCGUGGGGAGCAAACAGG